GAGGGUAGAGCUCAGUGGUAGAGCACGUGCUUAGCAUGCACAAGGUUCUGGGUUCAAUCCCCAGUCCCUCCA
rnacentral:tRNA from 1 species